CCCAGCGCUGCACUCUCCCAGACAGGAAGCUGAAGAGUUCGCCAGUAUGGCUGUGACAACCGUCCCUGCUAGAGCGGUGGUGGGCGGCUCGGGGCAUGAUAACAGAGCCGCAAGGCAGGAGGCGGGCACGUGCGAUCAGUUUUGACAACGCCUGGAAAAAAGCACAUAAAACAGUCUCCCUGUCAUGGGAGCAUUCAGUGCCUCUGAACCAGUUCAGUCUUGUCUGCAUGACUCCUCCUGGGGCUGAGAAAAAUCGACCAGGCAUCUGCCCUUUUAGAAGAGAGCAGAAAAUGAAG